rnacentral:rRNA from 1 species
UGGUGGAGUGAUUUGUCUGGUUAAUUCCGUUAACGAACGAGACCUCGCCCUGCUAAAUAGGUGGCAGCUUCACGAAGCUGUUCUCCUGCUUAGAGGGACAACCGGCUCCUAAGCCGGCGGAAGCACGAGGCAAUAACA